rnacentral:rRNA from 1 species
CAGUCGCCGCGGUAAUACGAAGGGUGCAAGCGUUACUCGGAAUUACUGGGCGUAAGGCGUGCGUAGGUGGUGGUUUAAGUCCGUUGUGAAAGCCCUGGGCUCAACCUGGGAAUUGCAGUGGAUACUGGGUCACUAGAGUGUGGUAGAGGAUAGUGGAAUUUCCGGUGUAGCAGUGAAAUGCGUAGAGAUCGGAAGGAACAUCUGUGGCGAAGGCGACUAUCUGGGCCAACACUGACACUGAGGCACGAAAGCGUGGGGAGCAAACAGGAUUAGAUACCCCGGUAGUCCCUGUCUCUUAUAC